CCCGCCCCGUCAGGACCCGCCGCGGCUGCCCCUGUCCCCCCGUCCCCGAGGAGCGACGCCGAAGAAGCGAGAGCGACUCACUCAUGGGAGCGCGGCGGGCGAGGCCGGCGACACCUCCGGCUUCCGAGGCGCCGGCGAAGUUAAUUGCACUGAAGUUCAAGUUGUCUUUUCACCCAUCAGGAGUGGGCGUUUAAAGGAAGGAGAGCGAGGAGGAGGAGGGGGAGGGGGGAGAGCCUCUCGCUCUCGCUCGCUCUCGCACACACACACACACACACACAGCCACAGGCACACACACACACACACACACACACGCACACACACACACGCACACAGACGCGCACGCCCGCCCGCUCCCGCUCUGUCUCAGCAGGAGGAGCCCGGCCGGAACGCACCAGGGCAGCACCAGGUGAGGAAACUGUUGAAUCUGCAGACUGAAACUAUCAGAAGCCUUUCCUGAGGUGCCCCUUACUGAAAUGUUACUGUGGCAUAAUGAUUUGGAAAUAAGCUUUUGUGUGAGAAGAGCUAUCAGAUCCUCUGGGAAACAUUACAGAUACUUUCCAGUUCCUUUCAGACAUGUAAAUAUGCUUAGACUUAAGCAGAGAGUAGAGUUGGGGAGUGGAGUAGGGCAGGGUGUAGGGUGGGGUUAAAAACUUCCUCAUAGAUCCUGGAACCAAAUAAAUAUGUGGGUUGUUAUUUUUUUUUGUUUUUU
rnacentral:lncRNA from 1 species